rnacentral:rRNA from 1 species
UACGGAGGGUGCUAGCGUUGUCCGGAAUUAUUGGGCGUAAAGGGCUCGUAGGCGGUCUGUCGCGUCGGGAGUGAAAACUCAGGGCUUAACCCUGAGCCUGCUUCCGAUACGGGCAGACUAGAGGUAUGCAGGGGAGAACGGAAUUCCUGGUGUAGCGGUGAAAUGCGCAGAUAUCAGGAGGAACACCAGUGGCGAAGGCGGUUCUCUGGGCAUUACCUGACGCUGAGGAGCGAAAGUGUGGGGAGCGAACAGG